UGGGCUUUCAGGGGCUGCCUCAGUC
rnacentral:piRNA from 1 species